rnacentral:rRNA from 1 species
GUCUACAGCCAUACCACCCUGAACAUGCCCGAUCUCAUCUGAUCUUGGAAGCUAAGCAAGCCUGGUUAGUACUUGGAUGGGAGACAGAGACACCUGCAGCAC